AGUGAACGCUGGCGGUAGGCCUAACACAUGCAAGUCGAACGACAGCACAGUAAGAGCUUGCUCUUACGGGUGGCGAGUGGCGGACGGGUGCGGAAUACAGCGGAAUCUAAUUAUUCGUGGGGGAUAACGUAGGGAAACUUAAGCUAAUACCGCAUACGACCUAAGGGUGUAAGCAGGGGACCUUCGGACUUUGCGCGCUUCAUUGAGCCGAUCCCGGAUUCGCUAGUUGGCGGGGUAAAGGCCCACCAAGGCGCCGAGCCGUAGCUGGUCUGACAGGAUGAUCAGCCACACUGGAAUGUAGACGCGGUCCAGACUCGUACGGGAGGCAGCAGUGGGGAAUAUGGGGCAAUGGGCGGAAGCCUGAUGCAGGCAGACCGCGUAGGUGAAGAAGGGUUGCGCGUUGUAAAGCCCUUUUGUUGGGAAGGAAAGCAGCAGUUUAAUACCCCGCUGGUCUGACGGUACCCAAAGAGUAGGCACGGGCUAGCUUCGUG
rnacentral:rRNA from 1 species